UGGGGAAUUUUGGACAAUGGGCGAAAGCCUGAUCCAGCAAUGCCGCGUGUGUGAAGAAGGCCUUCGGGUUGUAAAGCACUUUUGUCCGGAAAGAAAUCCUUGGCUCUAAUACAGUCGGGGGAUGACGGUACCGGAAGAAUAAGCACCGGCUAACUACGUGCCAGCAGCCGCGGUAAUACGUAGGGUGCAAGCGUUAAUCGGAAUUACUGGGCGUAAAGCGUGCGCAGGCGGUUUGCUAAGACCGAUGUGAAAUCCCCGGGCUCAACCUGGGAACUGCAUUGGUGACUGGCAGGCUAGAGUAUGGCAGAGGGGGUAGAAUUCCACGUGUAGCAGUGAAAUGCGUAGAGAUGUGGAGGAAUACCGAUGGCGAAGGCAGCCCCCUGGGCCAAUACUGACGCUCAUGCACGAAAGCGUGGGGAGCAAACAGGAUUAGAUACCCUGGUAGUCCACGCCCUAAACGAUGUCAACUAGUUGUUGGGGAUUCAUUUCCUUAGUAACGUAGCUAACGCGUGAAGUUGACCGCCUGGGGAGUACGGUCCGCAAGAUUAAAACUCAAAGGAAUUGACGGGUCAUAGCU
rnacentral:rRNA from 1 species